UACGUAUGGUCCAAGCGUUGUUCGGAUUCACUGGGCGUAAAGAGCACGCAGGCGGACUAUUAAGUUAGGUGUGAAAACUACGGGCUCAGCCCGUAGCCUGCACUUGAAACUGGUGGUCUGGAGUCUCGGAGAGGCAGGCGGAAUUCCAGGUGUAGCGGUGAAAUGCGUAGAUAUCCGGAGGAACACCAAUGGCGAAGGCAGCCUGCUGGACGAUGACUGACGCUGAGGUGCGAAAGCGUGGGGAGCAAACAGG
rnacentral:rRNA from 1 species